GAUGAACGCUAGCGGCAGGCCUAAUACAUGCAAGUCGAGGGGCAGCACAGGUAGCAAUACUGGGUGGCGACCGGCGCACGGGUGCGUAACACGUAUACAAUCUGCCCAUAUCAGGAGAAUAGCCCGGAGAAAUUCGGAUUAAUGCUCCAUAACAUAAUGAACUGGCAUCAGUUUAUUAUUAAAGUUCCGACGGAUAUGGAUGAGUAUGCGGAUGAUUAGCUAGUUGGUAGUGUAAUGGACUACCAAGGCUACGAUCAAUAGGGGUACUGA
rnacentral:rRNA from 1 species